rnacentral:rRNA from 1 species
UCUUGGUCAAUUUAGAGGAAGUAAAAGUCGUAACAAGGUUUCCGUAGGUGAACCUGCGGAAGGAUCAUUAUUGAAAUAAACCUGAUGGGUUGUUGCUGGCUCUCUAGGGAGCAUGUGCACGCCUUGUCAUCUUUAUAUCUCCACCUGUGCACUUUUUGUAGACCUUUCAGGUCUAUGUUGCUUCAUUCUACCCCAAUGUAUGUUAAUAGAAUGUUGUGCCUAUAUAAUAUAUACAACUUUCAGCAACGGAUCUCUUGGCUCUCGCAUCGAUGAAGAACGCAGCGAAAUGCGAUAAGUAAUGUGAAUUGCAGAAUUCAGUGAAUCAUCGAAUCUUUGAACGCACCUUGCGCUCCUUGGUAUUCCGAGGAGCAUGCCUGUUUGAGUGUCAUUAAUAUAUAUCAACCUUCUCCUUGUUGAGAGGUGUUUGGAUGUGGGGGUUUGCUGGCCUCUUAAAAAGGUUCAGCUCCUCUGAAAUGCAUUAGCAGAACAACCCGUUCAUUGGCGUGAUAACUAUCUACGCUAUUGAAUGUGAUGGGGCAGUUCAGCUUUCUAACAGUCUUUGGACAAUUCAUCAUUAAUGUGACCUCAAAUCAGGUAGGACUACCCGCUGAACUUAAGCAUAUCAAUAAG